GGAAUGAAAGUGAAAGAGAACUCACUUACCUGUCAAAGGGUUUGUGCGUUUUUCUGUGAUGUGAGCUUAUCUCUUGUGUUUUAAGGAUGAGCCUAACAUAGGCCGAUCGUUGUGACAGCUACGUGGUGGUGCCUGGCCUGCCUUCGGGUGUGCUGGGUUACGGUCACGAGGGCGACAUGAUUCGAGCGUGAGCGUAUCUGUUGGGACCCGAAAGAUGGUGAACUAUGCCUGAAUAGGGUGAAGCCAGAGGAAACUCUGGUGGAAGCUCGUAGCGGUUCUGACGUGCAAAUCGAUCGUCAAAUUUGGGUAUAGGGGCGAAAGACUAAUCGAACCAUCUAGUAGCUGGUUCCCUCCGAAGUUUCCCUCAGGAUAGCUGGAGCCUGUGCUAUGUGUGUAGUUUUAUCAGGUAAAGCGAAUGAUUAGAGGUAUUGGGGUUGAAAUGACCUCAACCUAUUCUCAAACUUUAAAUGGGUAAGAAGCACAGCUUACUUUGGUGAAGUUGUGCCAAGCUCAAUUGAAUACAGAGGCUCUUAGUGGGCCAUUUUUGGUAAGCAGAACUGGCGAUGCGGGAUGAACCGAACGCUGGGUUAAGGUGCCCAAGUCAACGCUCAUGAGAUCCCAGGAAAGGUGUUGGUUGAUACAGACAG
rnacentral:rRNA from 1 species